rnacentral:tmRNA from 1 species
GGGGCCGAUUAGGAUUCGACGCCGGUAGCGAAACUCUAGGUGCAUGCCGAGUUGGUAACAGAACUCGUAAAUCCACUGUUGCAACUUUCUAUAGUUGCCAAUGACAAUGACUACGGCAUGGAGAAAAUGGCCGCUUAAUGCGGUCACUUGACCCACUGCUUCUGGUAGCUUCGGCUCCAGCAAUCAUCAGGGGAUGCCUGUAAACCCGAAAUGAUUGUCAUACAGAACAGGAUCGUCGUGCAGCACGUUGGGGGCGAAGCGACUAAAACUUACCCAACUCAUCCAAAGCACCCUGCCCGUCGGGCGGCUGCGGAUUAAAUCAGUAGACACGGCUAAGCAUGUAGUACCGACAGCGGAGUACUGGCGGACGGGGGUUCAAAUCCCCCCGGCUCCACCA